rnacentral:rRNA from 1 species
GAUGAACGCUGGCGGCAUGCCUAAUACAUGCAAGUCGAGCGGACGGACGAGAAUCUUGCUUCUCUGAUGUUAGCGGCGGACGGGUGAGUAACACGUGGAUAACCUACCUAUAAGACUGGGAUAACUUCUGGAAACCGGGGCUAAGACCGAAUAAUGUUUUGAACCGCAUGGUUCGAAAGUGAAAGACGGUCUUGCUGUCGCUUAUAGAUCGUACCGGGAUGCAUUAGCUUGUUGGGAAGGUAACGGCUUACUAAGGCAACGAUGCAUAGCCGACCUGGGAGAGGGACAGUACCCACUGGAACUGAGACACGGUCCAGACUCCGACGGGGGGAAGGAGUAGAGACUCUCGCGCAAUGGGCGUAAGCAAGACGGCGCAAUGCCGCGUGAGCGAUGAGGGCAUUCGGAUCGGGAAACUGUGUUACUAGGGAAGAAGAUAUGUGUAAGUAACUGUGCACAUCUUGACGGUACCUAAUGAGAAAGCAACGGCUAACUACGUG